ensembl:miRNA mdo-mir-7290 mdo-mir-7290
UCUGGCUCUGUUUGCAGCGCAGUGAUAUUGGACAAAGCGCUGGACUUAGAGCCAGACA